AGGAUGAACGCUAGCGGCAGGCUUAAUACAUGCAAGUCGUGGGGCAGCGCAGUGUAGCAAUACAUGGGCGGCGACCGGCAAACGGGUGCGGAACACGUACACAACCUUCCUACAAGUGGGGAAUAGCCCAGAGAAAUUUGGAUUAAUACCCCGUAACAUAUAAAGAUGGCAUCAUUUUUAUAUUAUAGCUACGGCGCUUGUUGAUGGGUGUGCGGCUGAUUAGGUAGUUGGCGGGGUAAUGGCCCACCAAGCCUGCGAUCAGUAGCUGAUGUGAGAGCAUGAUCAGCCACACGGGCACUGAGACACGGGCCCGACUCCUACGGGAGGCAGCAGUAAGGAAUAUUGGACAAUGGGCGCAAGCCUGAUCCAGCCAUGCCGCGUGAAGGAUUAAGGUCCUCUGGAUUGUAAACUUCUUUUAUAAGGGACGAAAAAAGGGAAUUCUUUCUCACUUGACGGUACCUUAUGAAUAAGCACCGGCUAACUCCGUG
rnacentral:rRNA from 1 species